rnacentral:rRNA from 1 species
UACGAAGGGGGGCUAGCGUUGCUCGGAAUUACUGGGCGUAAAGCGCACGUAGGCGGCUUCUUAAGUCGGUGGUGAAAUCCUGGAGCUCAACUCCAGAACUGCCUUUGAUACUGGCGACCUUGAGUCCGGGAGAGGUGAGUGGAACUGCGAGUGUAGAGGUGAAAUUCGUGAGAUAUUCGCGAAGAACACCUGUGGCGAAGGCGACCCCCUGGUUGGAUACUGACGCUGAGACGCGAAAGCGUGGGGGAGCAAACAGG